rnacentral:snRNA from 1 species
GCCCUUCGGGCUUCGGGGCAUACGUGUGAUGAAAAUAUACAGAGAAGAUUAGCAUGGCCCCUGCGCUAAGGAUGACACGCAAUCAAAGAGAAGCUACCUAAUUUUUU